GGAGAUGUAGCUUAGUGGCAGAGCACCUUCUUGGCAUGGAUGAGGUCCUGGGUUCAUCCUCAGCAUCACAG
rnacentral:tRNA from 1 species